rnacentral:rRNA from 1 species
CACGUAGGCGGCUAGGUCCGUCCGAUGUGAAAGCCCCCGGCUCAACCGGGGAAUGGCAUCGGAUACAGCCUGGCUUGAGGACGGUUGGGGUGAGUGGAACUCCUGGUGGAGCGGUGAAAUGCGUAGAUAUCAGGAGGAACACCGGUGGCGAAAGCGGCUCACUGGACCGUUACUGACGCUGAGGUGCGAAAGCUAGGGGAGCAAACGG